UACGUAGGUGGCAAGCGUUAUCCGGAAUUAUUGGGCGUAAAGCGCGCGUAGGCGGUUUUUUAAGUCUGAUGUGAAAGCCCACGGCUCAACCGUGGAGGGUCAUUGGAAACUGGAAAACUUGAGUGCAGAAGAGGAAAGUGGAAUUCCAUGUGUAGCGGCGAAAUGCGCAGAGAUAUGGAGGAACACCAGUGGCGAAGGCGACUUUCUGGUCUGUAACUGACGCUGAUGUGCGAAAGCGUGGGGAUCAAACAGGAUUAGAUA
rnacentral:rRNA from 1 species